rnacentral:rRNA from 1 species
AGCGUAGGUGGAUAUUUAAGUGGGAUGUGAAAUACUCGGGCUUAACCUGAGUGCUGCAUUCCAAACUGGAUAUCUAGAGUGCAGGAGAGGAAAGUGGAAUUCCUAGUGUAGCGGUGAAAUGCGUAGAUAUUAGGAAGAACACCAGUGGCGAAGGCGACUUUCUGGACUGUAACUGACACUGAGGCUCGAAAGCGUGGGGAGCGAACAGGAUUAGAUACCCUUGUA